GGGGGUAUAGCUCAGUGGUAGAGCACAUGCUUAGCAUGCACAAGGUCCUGGGUUCAAUUCCCCAUACCUCCA
rnacentral:tRNA from 1 species